GACGAACGCUGGCGGCGUGCUUAACACAUGCAAGUCGAACGGUGAAGCGCCUUCCUUUUUGGUGGGUGUGGAUGAGUGGCGAACGGGUGAGUAACACGUGAGUAACCUGCCCCCUUCUUCUGGAUAACCGCAUGAAAGUGUGGCUAAUACGGGAUAUUCUGGGUCUGUCGCAUGAUGGGUCUGGGAAAGAUAUUGUUUCGGUGGGGGAUGGGCUCGCGGCCUAUCAGCUGGUUGGUGGGGUGAGGGCCUACCAAGGCGGUGAGGGGUAGCCGGCCUGAGAGGGUGGACGGCCACACUGGGACUGAGACACGGCCCGGACUCCGACGGGGGGCAGCAGUGGGGAAUAGUGAACAAUGGGCGCAAGCCUGAUGCAGCGACGCCGCGGGAGGGAUGGAGGCCUUCGGGUUGUGAACCUCUUUCGCCAGUGAAGCAGGCCUGCCUCGUAUGUGGGUGGGUUGACGGUAGCUGGAUAAGAAGCGCCGGCUAACUACGUG
rnacentral:rRNA from 1 species